UUUUUUUUUUUUUUUUUUUUUGGCUGCCCCGUGGCAAAUGGAGUUCCUGGGCCAGGGAUCAGAUCCCAACCCCAGCUGUGAUCUAGGCUGAGCUGCAGCAAUGCCAGAUCUGAGUCGGGGAUUGAACCUGCGACCGAGCACUCCAAAGACACCGCCAAUCCCCUAUACAUUCUUUUCCUUCCAGUGUACAUAUUUACGAGCCAGAGAAUUGAAAGAAGAGGGGGAGAGAAGUAGAGAGUGAUGUAGAAGUGAGAUUGGGAGCUCAGAGCUCACAGUGUACUCCCAAAUAACGUCCCUGGAGCAGGUCCACGAUGCCUGGAAGGAUGAUGCCCAGUUUGGGUACCAGUUCCUCAACAGAGCAAACUCCUGAGGCGCUCGGCAAGCCUCCCAGCACAGCUGGUGGUGCCUCCAGGGAUGGAAGCCGUGAAGACACAGCUGGAGAAAGAACUCCAGGUGCUGUGCUCCAUCUGUUGGCCCCCCACCGCAGCCACUGUCCCCACCUCCUUGUUUCUGCCUCAUUCUAUCCCCUUCCCCCCUUCCCUCAUUCCCUCCAUCAACAGCUCUCUAAUCUACACUCUCCUCCAUCUUCACUUAGGGGUUCUCGUCCUCGGCACUGGUGUUUUUGGAUCAGCUAACUCUUUGUUGUGGGAGCUGUCCUGUGCGAUGCAGGACAUUUAACGGCAUCCGUGGCUUCUACUCACUCGCUGCCAGUAGCAUCCCCCUCGUUGUGACAACCAAAAAUGUCUCCUGGCAUUGCCAGACACCUUCUGGGCUGGGGUGGGGGCAACAUCAACCCUGGUGGAGGAGUUCCCACUGUGGCUCAGUGGGUUAAGAACCUAAUAUCCAGGAGGAUGUGGGUUUGAUCCCUGGCCUUAUUCAGUGGAUUAAGGAUCCAGCGUUGCUGCGAGCUGUGGCAUAGGUUGAAGAUGCGGCUUGGAUUGCGGUGUGGCUGUGGCUAGGCAGGCAGCUUCAGUCCGAUUCAACCCCUAGCCCGGAAAUGUCCAUAUGCCACAGGCUUGGCCUUAAACAAAAUCAAACCAAACCAAACCCUGGUGGAGAACCACUUAUCUAUCCCAUCUCCGCCUGUCAUCUCCUCUUCCCACUCCUCUCCCAUCUCCACCUUCAUCUCUUCCUUCUUCAUUAGCUGUUUCUCAGCCUCAGGGAAAAGCUCAAGUUCCCGGAGGGAAACAGCAAGAAAGACUAAACAAAUCCUGCAGAGGGCUGGGGCUAUGGUUUUUUUGGGGGGGGGAGUUCAGAUAAAAGAAAGAUUUUUGCUAUAUUUGGCUAAGUUCUGAAGGAAGGGGAUAAGGGAAAACUUUGGAUGGGGGGGCAGGGGACGUGGGAAAAACCAGAAAGUUGACAUCGGGGAGCCCCGACUCUGAUGGAAGAUACGAGGCACAGAAACUUGGCAUUUAGGGCUUUAGUUAUGGGGGAAGUGAUUGGAAUUUGUGGGGUUUUGUUUGUUUGUUUUGGGGUCUUUUUUUUUUCUUGUCUUUUUAGGGCUGCCCCCAUGGCAUAUGCAAGUUCCCAGGCUAGGGGUCGAAUCGGAGCUGCAGCUGCCAGCCUACGCCAAAGCCGCAGCAACAGCAACGCGAGAUUCGAGCCGCAUCUUUGACCUACACCACAGCUCACAGCAAUGCCAGAUCCUUAGCCCAUUGAGCAAAGGCCAGGGACUGAACCCGCAUCCUCUUGGAUACAAGUUGGAUUUGUUUCCGCUGCACCUCAACCGGAGCUCCCGUGAUGGGCAUUUAAAGUAAAAGACCUGAUGGAUGGAGAGAGGAACCACCUGACAAAUUAGAGCAGGGGAGGUCAGGUUCAGAGCUGACCCCAGCCCCCUUAUCUACCCCUGCUCUCCCCCCACUCGGGCUGGAUCUCUUUUGGAAGCUGAUUUCUCCCUGCUGGAUGGCAUCAAGCCUAAUGUCAUCAUUUUUAACCAACAAUAUGUGGCAGCCCCUCUGGUCACACUGAAGCUCCAGCCUGAUGGAAGACUCUUACCUACAGUCAUCCAGGUAAGAGGACCCAGGUGUCCUGUCCCCGGGCAUUGAUCCCCACUGGGGACUUGGACACACAGGUCCUUAGCCUCCCCACCCCCUCUCCUGCUCCAGCUCCAGCUCCAGACAUCUCGUCACGAAUGCCCCCCACCUGUGUUGUUCCUGCCUUUGGAUCCCCCCAUGGCCUGGCUCCUGGCCAAGAUCUGGGUCCAUAGCUCUGACUUCCGGCUGCAUCAGUUACAGUCACAACUGCUGAGGGCACCCCUGAUGGCUGAGGUUAUUUCUGUGGCCACAAUGAUGAGCCUGCCUGCCUGCAUCCCGUCUACAAGGUAUUUCAGCAUCUCUUCACUCUGCAUCUGACCGCCCUUCAGAGUUUAGGCUCCUAGACUCAGGAGACAUCCACACUGGAGCUAACUUUGUAGCCUAUUAGGUUAGCAGCAACCUCGCUUUCCACACACACAAUGCUAUGGAAAAAGAGUGAGAAUAGCCUUUACACGGGAACUGAAAUUUGGGCUGAGGAGGUAGCCAGCUGGCUGGUGAGGGUGGAGAGACCUGCGGAGGCGCGGGCAUAGUGGCUGAGAGCGGGUGUGAUGGAAGAGUAGGGCUGGGGAGGAAGAAAGGGAGGUGAGAGAAGAUGAGAGAGAAAGCCAUGGUACUUAGUCGGGGGACGAAUCGAGAGAUCUGCUUCGACCACGUGAGAUUUCC
rnacentral:lncRNA from 1 species